CAUCACAAGAAGAAAAGUCGCUCAAAUGCAGCACGGAGUGGACGUGAAUCUCCGAAAACUCCAUGAAUCAGAGCGACUGCUUUCCCAAUUGCCGGUCUCCCCAUUUGAGGUUGUGAGAUUCCCGUUCUGAAGCUCCUUCAAUUUCCCAGCAUCCAUUUCACUCCUUCAUGGAGAUAACAGACUCACACUGAUACCUUGUUCUCAGAUUUUCUAAUUAGAAAAAGCACAUAUUUCACAAGAAUUGUCCAGCUAACUCACUCCUUAGCCUGGGGUAAGCCACAUACCGCUUUUCUCUUUAAAAUACUCACCUUUCAGAACUCUUGGUAAAUUAUUUAAGAAUAGGAAGGUACCAUGACUUUGGCCACGAGCAGUAUUAUGUAUAAUGUGCAAGUGAAUGCCUUGAGAGCCAUGGUUGCUAAAAACAAAUUUUCUCAGAAGAGAAAAAUGUAAGCAGUUCUUUACAUGAUCGUUAAUUUUGUUUUGCCUAAAUAACAUCUUGUCUUUGUACAGGGAUACAGGAUGUUGCUGAGUAUUUACGGGGGCGAGUGGGUCCUGCUGCCCCACUAUGUGAUCCUGAAUAUCGACAGGGACGUCCACACGGAAGCUGUCCAGGCGGCUCCAGACACAAAGAGCAGAAGAUGGCGGUGCCUAUGCCUUCCAAACGCAGGUCCCUGGUCGUGCAGACCUCCAUGGACGCCUACACCCCUCCAGGUAAAAAUCUGAGCAAACUGAAAAAUCAGCAGUUCUUAAACCUGCAAGAGACGUGAGGUCACCGGCAAGCCACUGUCCCCAGAUUGGCUGGACAGGAAAGCAGAUGAAUCACCAUACACUGGAGCACAAUGCUCCAAGGAACCAACGCUGGGAUUGGAAAGCCUGAACUGGAAUUGACAAAUUGCUGCAGUGAGCUGUGGCCACGUCUGAGAGUUAAAACCUCCAGGAGGCCUGUGCCUAUGGGUCUCAUGCUUUUUGUGAAUUGUAUCAUCAGAAGCUCAACCAGGUUCUCGAAGUGUAAAUAUCAGAGAAAAAUCCCCUCAUACUUACUACAGGGGAAAGAGAAGAAGAAUCAUUUUUCAAUAGGUGGGUGCACUCUUCACUAGGUCUACCUUCCAGAGAGACUCACCUGGUGGGAUUUUAUCAGAGCCUUCUGACCUGGGGGAAAGGGAAAUACCCAACUCCAACCUCCAGAACUGAAAAGCAAAAAAGAACAGAGUAUCCAAGCACUAUGGGACUUCCACAGAGGCAGAAAAUAUGCAUAACGGUAAUACAAGGGGGAAGAAAGAGGAACAGAAGAAAUAUUUGUAACAGUAAUAGCUGAAUUUCCUCAGAUUAAUGCCAGACACCAAACCAUAGAUCCAGGAAGCUCAAACACCUAGAUUCUCUAAAAUAUUAAUAUUGUAAUUGUAAUAUGUAAUAUUUAAAAUAGUUAUAAUUACAAUGUAAUAGUACAUUUGUGAUAUUAAAUAUUACAAUUACUUAAAAUGCAAACUAGAAACAAAUGGUUUCUAAAAACCAA